CGGGCCGGCCAGCAUUAAAACUUAAAAACAAUGGCGGACAGUGAAGCGGGAGCUGUCGGAGAGGAUUGCGCAUAUAAAUGAACAAAAGAGAAAACCAGGGAAUUUAUUAAGCUUAGGGCGGAGAUGGACCACAUGAUCACCGGAGCAAAGUAUUCGGCGGCUGUGGCAUGGAGACUAUUCUGGAGAAAAUGGGCAUCCAGGGGAAGGUGCCAGCGAUGACCAGCUUCUGGAUCUGAUCAGGGAGAACAUGAGGCUGCAGAGGGAGGCAGAGGGCCCAGGAGAGAAGGAAUAACUUUGACAGCUUUUUACUUUGCUAGAAAAAAAUGGUUAAUAAAGAUUAAACAUGUACAUAUAAAAGAAAUAUCUAAAUAAAAUCAGU